rnacentral:rRNA from 1 species
CCGACUAAGCGUACACGGUGGAUGCCCUGGCAGUCAGAGGCGAUGAAGGACGUGCUAAUCUGCGAUAAGCGUCGGUAAGGUGAUAUGAACCGUUAUAACCGGCGAUUUCCGAAUGGGGAAACCCAGUGUGUUUCGACACACUAUCAUUAACUGAAUCCAUAGGUUAAUGAGGCGAACCGGGGGAACUGAAACAUCUAAGUACCCCGAGGAAAAGAAAUCAACCGAGAUUCCCCCAGUAGCGGCGAGCGAACGGGGAGCAGCCCAGAGCCUGAAUCAGUGUGUGUGUUAGUGGAAGCGUCUGGAAAGGCGCGCGAUACAGGGUGACAGCCCCGUACACAAAAAUGCACAUGCUGUGAGCUCGAUGAGUAGGGCGGGACACGUGGUAUCCUGUCUGAAUAUGGGGGGACCAUCCUCCAAGGCUAAAUACUCCUGACUGACCGAUAGUGAACCAGUACCGUGAGGGAAAGGCGAAAAGAACCCCGGCGAGGGGAGUGAAAAAGAACCUGAAACCGUGUACGUACAAGCAGUGGGAGCACGCUUAGGCGUGUGACUGCGUACCUUUUGAUAAUGGGUCAGCGACUUAUAUUCUGUAGCAAGGUUAACCGAAUAGGGGAGCCGAAGGGAAACCGAGUCUUAACUGGGCGUUAAGUUGCAGGGUAUAGACCCGAAACCCGGUGAUCUAGCCAUGGGCAGGGUUGAAGGUUGGGUAACACUAACUGGAGGACCGAACCGACUAAUGUUGAAAAAUUAGCGGAUGACUUGUGGCUGGGGUGAAAGGCCAAUCAAACCGGGAGAUAGCUGGUUCUCCCCGAAAGCUAUUUAGGUGGCGCCUCGUGAAUUCAUCUCCGGGGGUAGAGCACUGUUUCGGCAAGGGGUCAUCCCGACUUACCAACCCGAUGCAAACUGCGAAUACCGGAGAAUGUUAUCACGGGAGACACACGGCGGGUGCUAACGUCCGUCGUGAAGAGGGAAACAACCCAGACCGCCAGCUAAGGUCCCAAAGUCAUGGUUAAGUGGGAAACGAUGUGGGAAGGCCCAGACAGCCAGGAUGUUGGCUUAGAAGCAGCCAUCAUUUAAAGAAAGCGUAAUAGCUCACUGGUCGAGUCGGCCUGCGCGGAAGAUGUAACGGGGCUAAACCAUGCACCGAAGCUGCGGCAGCGACACUAUGUGUUGUUGGGUAGGGGAGCGUUCUGUAAGCCUGCGAAGGUGUGCUGUGAGGCAUGCUGGAGGUAUCAGAAGUGCGAAUGCUGACAUAAGUAACGAUAAAGCGGGUGAAAAGCCCGCUCGCCGGAAGACCAAGGGUUCCUGUCCAACGUUAAUCGGGGCAGGGUGAGUCGACCCCUAAGGCGAGGCCGAAAGGCGUAGUCGAUGGGAAACAGGUUAAUAUUCCUGUACUUGGUGUUACUGCGAAGGGGGGACGGAGAAGGCUAUGUUGGCCGGGCGACGGUUGUCCCGGUUUAAGCGUGUAGGCUGGUUUUCCAGGCAAAUCCGGAAAAUCAAGGCUGAGGCGUGAUGACGAGGCACUACGGUGCUGAAGCAACAAAUGCCCUGCUUCCAGGAAAAGCCUCUAAGCAUCAGGUAACAUCAAAUCGUACCCCAAACCGACACAGGUGGUCAGGUAGAGAAUACCAAGGCGCUUGAGAGAACUCGGGUGAAGGAACUAGGCAAAAUGGUGCCGUAACUUCGGGAGAAGGCACGCUGAUAUGUAGGUGAAGCGACUUGCUCGUGGAGCUGAAAUCAGUCGAAGAUACCAGCUGGCUGCAACUGUUUAUUAAAAACACAGCACUGUGCAAACACGAAAGUGGACGUAUACGGUGUGACGCCUGCCCGGUGCCGGAAGGUUAAUUGAUGGGGUCAGCGCAAGCGAAGCUCUUGAUCGAAGCCCCGGUAAACGGCGGCCGUAACUAUAACGGUCCUAAGGUAGCGAAAUUCCUUGUCGGGUAAGUUCCGACCUGCACGAAUGGCGUAAUGAUGGCCAGGCUGUCUCCACCCGAGACUCAGUGAAAUUGAACUCGCUGUGAAGAUGCAGUGUACCCGCGGCAAGACGGAAAGACCCCGUGAACCUUUACUAUAGCUUGACACUGAACAUUGAGCCUUGAUGUGUAGGAUAGGUGGGAGGCUUUGAAGUGUGGACGCCAGUCUGCAUGGAGCCGACCUUGAAAUACCACCCUUUAAUGUUUGAUGUUCUAACGUGGACCCGUGAUCCGGGUUGCGGACAGUGUCUGGUGGGUAGUUUGACUGGGGCGGUCUCCUCCUAAAGAGUAACGGAGGAGCACGAAGGUUGGCUAAUCCUGGUCGGACAUCAGGAGGUUAGUGCAAUGGCAUAAGCCAGCUUGACUGCGAGCGUGACGGCGCGAGCAGGUGCGAAAGCAGGUCAUAGUGAUCCGGUGGUUCUGAAUGGAAGGGCCAUCGCUCAACGGAUAAAAGGUACUCCGGGGAUAACAGGCUGAUACCGCCCAAGAGUUCAUAUCGACGGCGGUGUUUGGCACCUCGAUGUCGGCUCAUCACAUCCUGGGGCUGAAGUAGGUCCCAAGGGUAUGGCUGUUCGCCAUUUAAAAGUGGUACGCGAGCUGGGUUUAGAACGUCGUGAGACAGUUCGGUCCCUAUCUGCCGUGGGCGCUGGAGAACUGAGGGGGGCUGCUCCUAGUACGAGAGGACCGGAGUGGACGCAUCACUGGUGUUCGGGUUGUCAUGCCAAUGGCACUGCCCGGUAGCUAAAUGCGGAAGAGAUAAGUGCUGAAAGCAUCUAAGCACGAAACUUGCCCCGAGAUGAGUUCUCCCUGACUCCUUGAGAGUCCUGAAGGAACGUUGAAGACGACGACGUUGAUAGGCCAGGUGUGUAAGCGCAGCGAUGCGUUGAGCUAACCGGUACUAAUGAACCGUGAGGCUUAACCUU